rnacentral:rRNA from 1 species
UACGAAGGGGGCUAGCGUUGCUCGGAAUUACUGGGCGUAAAGCGCACGUAGGCGGUCUUUUAAGUCGGGGGUGAAAUCCUGGAGCUCAACUCCAGAACUGCCUUCGAUACUGGAAGACUUGAGUCCGGGAGAGGUGAGUGGAACUGCGAGUGUAGAGGUGAAAUUCGUAGAUAUUCGCAAGAACACCAGUGGCGAAGGCG